GACGAACGCUGGCGGCGUGCUUAACACAUGCAAGUCGAACGGAAAGGCCCUGCUUUUGUGGGGUGCUCGAGUGGCGAACGGGUGAGUAACACGUGAGUAACCUGCCCUUGACUUUGGGAUAACUUCAGGAAACUGGGGCUAAUACCGGAUAGGAGCUCCUGCUGCAUGGUGGGGGUUGGAAAGUUUCGGCGGUUGGGGAUGGACUCGCGGCUUAUCAGCUUGUUUGUGGGGUAGUGGCUUACCAAGGCUUUGACGGGUAGCCGGCCUGAGAGGGUGACCGGCCACCUUGGGCCUGCGAUACGGCCCAGACUCCUACGGGAGGCAGCAGUGGAGAGUAUUACACAGUGGGCUGAAGCCUGAUGCAGCAACGCCGCGUGCGGGAUGACGGCCUUCGGGUUGUAAACCACUUUCGCCUGUGACGAAGCGUGAGUGACGGUAAUGGGUAAAGAAGCACCGGCUAACUACGUG
rnacentral:rRNA from 1 species